rnacentral:rRNA from 1 species
UGGGGAAUAUUGCACAAUGGGCGGAAGCCUGAUGCAGCGACGCCGCGUGAGGGAUGACGGCCUUCGGGUUGUAAACCUCUUUCAGCAGGGACGAAGCGUGAGUGACGGUACCUGCAGAAGAAGCGCCGGCCAACUACGUGCCAGCAGCCGCGGUAAGACGUAGGGCGCGAGCGUUGUCCGGAUUUAUUGGGCGUAAAGAGCUCGUAGGCGACUUGUCGCGUCGACCGUGAAAACUUGGGGCUCAACCCCAAGCCUGCGGUCGAUACGGGCAGGCUAGAGUUCGGUAGGGGAGACUGGAAUUCCUGGUGUAGCGGUGAAAUGCGCAGAUAUCAGGAGGAACACCGGUGGCGAAGGCGGGUCUCUGGGCCGAUACUGACGCUGAGGAGCGAAAGCGUGGGGAGCGAACAGGAUUAGAUACCCUGGUAGUCCACGCUGUAAACGUUGGGCGCUAGGUGUGGGGGGCCUCUCCGGUUCCCUGUGCCGCAGCUAACGCAUUAAGCGCCCCGCCUGGGGAGUACGGCCGCAAGGCU